rnacentral:rRNA from 1 species
AAUCUUGCGCAAUGGGCGAAAGCCUGACGCAGCGACGCCGCGUGGGGGAUGACGGGUUUCGGCUUGUAAACCCCUGUUGCCCGGGACGAACUUCUCCUUUCGAGGAGAUUGACGGUACCGGGUGAGGAAGCACCGGCUACCUCUGUGCCAGCAGCCGCGGUGACACGUAGGCACCAAGCGUUGUCCGGAUUUAUUGGGCGUAAAGAGCUCGUAGGCGGUUCGGUAAGUCGGGUGUGAAAACUCUGGGCUCAACCCAGAGCCGCCACCCGAUACUGCUGUGACUUGAGUGCGGUAGGGGAGCGGGGAAUUCCUGGUGUAGCGGUGAAAUGCGCAGAUAUCAGGAGGAACACCAGUGGCGAAGGCGCCGCUCUGGGCCGUGACUGACGCUGAGGAGCGAAAGCGUGGGUAGCAAAC